rnacentral:snRNA from 1 species
UCAACCGGGAAGAGCUUCCA